rnacentral:rRNA from 1 species
CUACGGGAGGCUGCAGUGAGGAAUAUUGCACAAUGGGGGGAACCCUGAUGCAGCAACGCCGCGUGGAGGAUGACGCAUUUCGGUGUGUAAACUCCUUUUAUAUGUCAAGAAAAUGACGGUAGCAUAUGAAUAAGCACCGGCUAACUCCGUGCCAGCAGCCGCGGUAAUACGGAGGGUGCAAGCGUUACUCGGAAUCACUGGGCGUAAAGGACGCGCAGGCGGGCUUGCAAGUCAGGUGUGAAAUCCUACAGCUUAACUGUAGAACUGCACUUGAAACUACGAGCCUAGAGUAUGGGAGGGGGAGAUGGAAUUAGUGGUGUAGGGGUAAAAUCCGUAGAUAUCACUAGGAAUACCUAAAGCGAAGGCGAUCUCCUGGAACAUAACUGACGCUAAGGCGUGAAAGCGUGGGGAGCAAACAGGAUUAGAUACCCUAGUAGUC